rnacentral:misc_RNA from 1 species
GUAUAAGGAACAGGUGAAUCAUCGAAUCUUUGAACGCACAUUGCGCCCGCUAGUACUCUAGCGGGCAUGCCUGUUCGAGCGUCAUUUCAACCCUCAAGCCCUGCUUGGUGUUGGGGCCCUACGGCUGCCGUAGGCCCUGAAAGGAAGUGGCGGGCUCGCUACAACUCCGAGCGUAGUAAUUCAUUAUCUCGCUUAGGGUGUUGUGCGGUGCUCCAGCCGUUAAAGACCAUCUUUAACUCAAGGUUGACCUCGGAUCAGGUAGGAAUACCCGCUGAACUUAAGCAUAUCAAUAAGCGGAGG